GGCAUGGUGGCUGAGUGGUAAAGCACUUGGCUUCCAAACCAAGAGGUCUUGGGUCAAAUCUCAGUGAAGACU
rnacentral:tRNA from 1 species